rnacentral:rRNA from 1 species
UGGGGAAUAUUGCACAAUGGGCGCAAGCCUGAUGCAGCCAUGCCGCGUGUGUGAAGAAGGCCUUCGGGUUGUAAAGCACUUUCAGCGGGGAGGAAGGCGAUAAGGUUAAUAACCUUGCCGAUUGACGUUACCCGCAGAAGAAGCACCGGCUAACUCCGUGCCAGCAGCCGCGGUAAUACGGAGGGUGCAAGCGUUAAUCGGAAUUACUGGGCGUAAAGCGCACGCAGGCGGUCUGUCAAGUCGGAUGUGAAAUCCCCGGGCUCAACCUGGGAACUGCAUUCGAAACUGGCAGGCUAGAGUCUUGUAGAGGGGGGUAGAAUUCCAGGUGUAGCGGUGAAAUGCGUAGAGAUCUGGAGGAAUACCGGUGGCGAAGGCGGCCCCCUGGACAAAGACUGACGCUCAGGUGCGAAAGCGUGGGGAGCAAACAGG